UACGUAGGGUGCAAGCGUUGUCCGGAUUUACUGGGCGUAAAGGGCGUGCAGGCGGUCUGUUAAGUCUAGGGUGAAAGCUCCCGGCUCAACUGGGAGAGGUCCUUGGAUACUGGCGGACUUGAGGGAUGCAGAGGAAAGUGGAAUUCCCGGUGUAGUGGUGAUAUGCGUAGAUAUCGGAAGGAACAUCAGUGGCGAAAGCGGCUUCCUGGUCCAGCACCGACGUUCAGGCACGAAAGCGUGGGGAGCAAACAGG
rnacentral:rRNA from 1 species